UCCUGUGGACAGGUGACCGCUGUCGGCUUGUCCGAUGGAGGAAAGUCCGAACACGACAGGAUACGGUGGUGGAUAACGUCCACCGGCUCAUGAUCGUCGAGCCAGGGAUAGUGCCACAGAAAGCAAACCGCCAGUGCAGCUUCGGCUGGGCCGGUAAGGGUGAAAGGGUGCGGUAAGAGCGCACCGCCUGAUCGGUGACGGUCAGGGCAGGGUAAACCCCACUGCGUGCAAGCGCAAGCAGUCCUCGGUAUCCGGUUCGCCGGAUACGUCCGUGAUCCGCGGGUGAGGGCGGGUAGCGUGCUCGAGGCCAUCGGCAACGGUGGUCCCAGAUGAAUGGUCACCACCUGGUCAGGUCGUCGAUGACUGACUGACUGGGGACAGAAUUCGGCUUAUGUCCAUGGGCGAUC
rnacentral:RNase_P_RNA from 1 species